CAGGAUGAACGCUGGCGGCGUGCUUAACACAUGCAAGUCGAACGAAGCAACUAUCUUGCUGCAAGAAAGUGACUAGUGGCGGACGGGUGAGUAACGCGUGGGUAACCUGCCUCAUACAGGGGGAUAACAGUUGGAAACGACUGCUAAGACCGCAUAACCCGCUAGUGUCGCAUGACACGGACGGAAAAUAUUUAUAGGUAUGAGAUGGGCCCGCGUCUGAUUAGCUAGUUGGUAAGGUAACGGCUUACCAAGGCGACGAUCAGUAGCCGACUUGAGAGAGUGAUCGGCCACAUUGGGACUGAGACACGGCCCAAACUCCUACGGGAGGCAGCAGUGGGGAAUAUUGGACAAUGGGGGAAACCCUGAUCCAGCGAACCGCCGCGUGAGUGAAGAAGUAUUUCGGUAUGUAAAGCUCUAUCAGCAGGGAAGAUAAUGACAGUACCUGACUAAGAAGCCCCGGCUAACUACGUGCCAGCAGCCGC
rnacentral:rRNA from 1 species